rnacentral:rRNA from 1 species
AGUACGACCGCAAGGUUAAAACUCAAAUGAAUUGACGGGGACCCGCACAAGUAGUGGAGCAUGUGGUUUAACUCGAAGAUACGCGCAGAACCUUACCAACACUUGACAUGUUCGUCGCGACUCUAAGAGAUUAGAGUUUUCGGUUCGGCCGGACGAAACACAGGUGCUGCAUGGCUGUCGUCAGCUCGUGUCGUGAGAUGUUGGGUUAAGUCCCGCAACGAGCGCAACCCUCACUUUUAGUUGCCAUCAUUAAGUUGGGCACUCUGAAAGAACUGCCAGUGAUAAGCUGGAGGAAGGUGGGGAUGACGUCAAGUCCUCAUGGCCCUUACGUGUUGGGCUACACACGUGCUACAAUGGUAUCUACAACAGGAAGCGAGACUGCGAAGUUAAGCAAAUCCCUAAAAGAUACCUCAGUUCGGAUUGCACUCUGCAACUCGAGUGCAUGAAGCUGGAAUUACUAGUAAUCGUGGAUCAGCGUGCCACGGUGAAUGCGUUCCCGGGUCUUGUACACACCGCCCGUCACACCAUGGGAGUUGGUUCUACCUUAAGGCAAGGUUUCAAACCCUUGACCACGGUAUAGUCAGCGACUGGGGUGAAGUCGUAACAAGGUAACC